GGGUUUGGCAAUGGUUGAGGCAAAGACGCCCUAUCUUUGUUGAAGGCUUCCAAAAGUAGUGCAGACUGCUUCUCUGCUCUUUCACUUCUAAGUUUUUCCACCUCUUCCAGAGCUUGAAUCUUAAAAUCUGUCUUGCCUUCAAGAUCAUAUUUAUCAGCUUCUUUCAACUUCUCCUUGAUCUGCUUUGAUAACUCAAUUAUCUCUGG
rnacentral:misc_RNA from 1 species